AUUCAACACCUUUAUCAAAAGCCAAGUCGAUGACAUUGACUCGAUAGAAGCCUAUGUCAACAUCAAGCGGUUUGCCAAAGUCACCGAGAAAAAAGUCCUGAACUACCUUGAGGAUGAAGUCGGCAUACUGGAUAAAUAUGCUAUAUCCGAAAUUGCGUCUGAAUAUAAAAAAUCUGUGGACGUCAUCCAGGAUAUAGAUUUUAAGGAGAUCCAGCUUCUUCACAUCAUUGGACUCCAUUUCCAGCGACUCAAAGAAAAGCUCAAGGUUAUCGUCCAGGACUCAAACCAACG